CGCAUUGUUUACAUCAUCAACUGAUCAAGUUGCAGCAGCCGUUUUGUCGUUUAUACACAACAGUCACAGGUAAGCCAGUCGUUUCGUGCUAUAUACACAACUUUAAGCCAAUAUUCAUCUGCAGUAACGUACAUAAAUUGUAGCCGUUCAUAAUGUUUCAUUACGUUCAUAAUACUGUUUUUACCUCGCUCAGAACCUCAAUCCCACUCAAACGAGAUCAAAGCUCCAGUUGUGCAAUAAAGCAAGAGUUUGAUAUGCACGCAAAACAAUUACGUAAAACUAAAUGAAAAGUCAUAUUGACGCAAUAGACCUUAUGGAUAAUGACGUCACAAGGCUUGAUGCCCGCGAGGAAUGCCGGUCUUAAUAGUCAUCGCCUGGGAAAAUUUCGAUAGUUGUUUGUUUAAUUUUGUUUAUAAUUUACUUUUCCCGGGCGAUGACUACCAAGACCAGCAUUCCCCGCGGGCAUCAAGCCUUGUGACGUCAUUAUGCAUAAGGUAUAUUGCAGUCGAUGCUAUCCUGUGUUCAGUAUUCUCUCACAGACGGUCCAGAACAAACAGAAGUUUGCUGAUGUCUGCGCGGUUUUUUACCUCGUCAGAUAACUUUAAUGUUAUGACAAAUUGAAAAAGGUUUCUACAUAAUUUGAAAACAACUUUCUCUAGUUUCAUACGGUCAAAAAAAUAUUUACAUGCCGAUUUUUCGUACUGAAUUGCGUAAUAUUCCGCAUAGGAGCCUAGGGCAUGCCUACAAGACAGGCUUCAAUUUCCCCCAUCUUGGCCUCAUAAACAAAGCCAAAGUUAUCGUUCCACGUUCCAUAGACUACGUGCCGGUUGUACAAAAGGCGUUUAACUUAAACGGUUGUCUAUUUUGUAUACUUGUCGGCUUUCCAAAGUCAUAUUGUUUAUUUUCAUAACUAAAAGUGGUACAAGACCAAGUCAGUUAAAAGUGAGUUUUUCAUGUUCAUUGGAUUUAAAAAGAUAACUGCUCGACAGGGUUGUGCAUUUCUAUUACUAUCUCAUGCGAGUUAAACGGUGGAUAGAGAGUUAAACGCCUUUCGUAUAUCCGGCCCCAGAUAUAAAUAAAAAUAAAUACAAAGCUGAAUCUAAAUAACGUAAACCAGAAAAACUUAGUCAAAGUUGUUAUUUUACGCUGUACUCUUGUAGUGUACAUUAAAUAUUACAUUGUACAUUUACACAUGUUGAGAAACUAAGUACCUUGAAGUUAUUCUGACCAUACGAAAACCUUUCCACUUGAAUUUCCUGAUGCAAUGAUGUUUUUCGACGGAUGGAAGACAUUCGUUGACGCAAUUGUUGUAAAAUUUUCAUUGAACAUCUCCAAGAGAGGGGCUUUUGUCCUUUGCUCGACAUGAUAGAAUUGAAUCUAA